AGUCUCUCCAGCAGACAGCAUGGAGACUCUGGUGAACAAAGAGAUUUCAGCAGAGCCUACAACAGGCAGUGGGGUCACAGAGGUCAAAGAUGAGACUGAGGCAGAAUCAAGAGAUAGCACUACUGAAGGACAUGAAUUACAACAGCAAGAAGUUUGUGAGG